rnacentral:rRNA from 1 species
UACGGAGGAUGCAAGCGUUAUCCGGAAUUAUUGGGCGUAAAGCGUCCGUAGGUGGUGGUGCAAGUCAGCUGUUAAAGCGUGGAGCUUAACUCCAUAAGGGCAGUUGAAACUGCGCCGCUAGAGUGCGAUAGGGGCAAGGGGAAUUCCCAGUGUAGCGGUGAAAUGCUUAGAUAUGACAUAGAACACCAAUUGCGAAGGCAGCUCACUAAGCAAAUAUUGACGCUGAGGCACGAAAGCGUGGGGAUCAAACAGG